rnacentral:rRNA from 1 species
GACGAACGCUGGCGGCGUGCUUAACACAUGCAAGUCGAACGAAGUGGCGGACGGGUGAGUAACGCGUAAUCAACCUGCCCUUCAGGGGGGGACAACAGUUGAAAACGACUGCUAAUACCGCAUACUGAAGGACGGGUUUGCGGGUGAAUGGCUAGUUGGGGGGGUAACGGCCAACCAAGGGGAUGAUCAGUCGCCGGUCUGAGAGGAUGGACGGCCACAUUGGGACUGGGAAACGGCCCAGACUCCUUCGGGAGGGAGCAGUGGGGAAUCUUCCGAAAUGGAGGAAAGUCUGACGGAGCAACGCCGGGUGAGUGAUGACGGCCUUCGGGUUGUAAAGCUCUGUUAAUCGGGACGCGGUACCGGAAUAGAAAGCCACGGCUAACUACGUGCCAGCAGCCGCGGUAAUUC